GGCUUCGUAGCUCAGCUGGUAGAGCGCUUGCCGCGUAUAGACAUGUUGCUUCUGUCUCUGGUUCGAAUCCAGCCGAAGCUC
rnacentral:tRNA from 1 species